GCAGGUGGUAGACUAGGUAUUUCCAUAUAUACACUAUGUUUACAGAAUUGCGGCCAGUGGAGCAACAUAGCUGAUGAGUUAAUAGCACUAGUUCUUCAGACAAAUAACUUUAUUUUCAACCUAUAAAGCAUAUUUAGCUGUAGGUGGGGCCAAUUAGCUGUAAGAUCUGGCUUUUGUUCUGUUAAGCCCUUAGAGUAAUGAAUUUCAGAGUGAAGACCAUAGCGCCUUUUCCUAGUCAAGUAUCGGGCAGCUGUAUGUCUUUUCAGAAAUGCACAUGUCUUUUUAAGCAUGUCAUUGUGUUUGCUUUUAAUAAGAUAGGCAAUAAACUCAUAACCUUUAGACAAAUGAGCAUCUGUAAAUUCAGAUUUCACUAUUUCAGAGUCAGCCAGACCAUGAUUGAGCUUAAGGAUUGUGCUGCGGAUGCAGCCUGUGCAGUUCCGGGAGAAAGUCACUGUCUCGGGCAAUGCGGUCUGGUAUCAGGUCUGGAUGAUCCUUGCCUGACUGCGGGUUUGUGUACACCUCAAUCCGACUCUGUGUCCUGAACAGAGACCGCAGUGGUGCAGCGCUUGUGGACGAUCCAUCAACAUCCUGAAAGUUUGGCCAUGCCCAGGAGGGAGUGACUGAGUUAUGGGGUGCAGAAGAAGCACAAGCCUUCUCGACAUGAUGAAUCAUCCCCAACAGCGCUUGAGGAUGGUUUCCUGCUCGAUGAGGAUGAAUCCAUAACUGAGAACUGAGGAUGAUACUUCUCUCAACACUGCAUUGUAUGAAGACAAAGCAACUCAGAGUGGUUAGUCAUCGUCAACAACAGAACCAGACUCAGCUGCCGUUGGAGUCUGCCAAGUUGAGAUCACUGUGCCUAUCAGGGUUGAGUGUUACAUACUGAACGAAGUGAUCCAAAGCAAUUUAUUGUCAAUACGCACGCUAGAGACCUGGACAUUCGCUUUUUACAUUCAGAUCAAAGCAUGGCAAAACAUAUUUAAGGAUGAAAGUAUGUGUUAAUGAAGCAGGACACACUACUGAAUAUGUUCAUGGUUAGGAAGUUGCCCAGAACCAUUUUUUGUGGGAACAAAUUUCUAGUGAUUAUCUUUUUGCCCUUUAGCUCACCUGAGCACAAUGUGCUAAUGGUGAGCUUUUUUGAUCGCCUUUUGGCAGUCGUGGAGUGCGUGUUGUGUGGCGUCAACAUUUGCCUUGUAAACAAUCUUGAGGCCACAUUAAUUGUCCAAACUUCAUGAAAUUUGGUCAGAACAUUUUUCCAAAUGGAAUCUUGGACAAGUUAAAAAAUUGUUCCGGUUUAUUGUCCGUCAUCAUGAAACUUGGUCAGAGGAUUUGUCAAAAUGAUAUCUUGGGCAAGUUCAAAAAUGGUUCCGGUUGGUUCAAAAACAUGGGCACCAGGGGGUGGGGCAUUUUUCCUUAUAUGUCUAUAUAUAGCUAUAGAAAAACUUGGUAUCCGGACAAUCGCUCCUACAGACAAUCGCUCCUACGCUAAAUUUGACAGGGCGGACGGUCGCUCCUACGAUGUUUUGACAGGGCGGACAGUCGCUCCUACGAUGUUUUGACAGGGCGGACAGUCGCUCCUACGAUGUUUUGACAGGGCGGACAGUCGCUCCUACAUUAUUUUGCCAACCCGGACAAUCGCUCCUACAUUAUUUUGUCAACCCGGACAGUCGCUCCUACAUUAUUUGGACUCCACGGCAAAAUGUAGUGUAUGCCGAUCAAAGGCUAACACCUAUGAUUAACCGACAAUUAAAAUUGCCAACUUGUGUCGAAAAAUGCGAAAUAAGCCAGAUAUUUAAAUUUGAAAUCGAAAAUGUCUGUACAUUUGAAUUUGCCAGCAUGUUGCAUUUCAUGAAUUUUGUAUUCAAUGUAUAAUUGUUCUUGUCUAUUUUGUGUUAUUGUAACAUAUACAUAUAACAUUUUAUCAAUAUAUUACAAUUCAACACAUACAAAAAUUGUUCAGUAUCACUUUAACACACUAUUUUAAUAAUCAUAGAAAUGCCGAUUAAGAAAUUGUUCAGUGUCAUAUCAAUCAAUGGGUCAAAUGUGAAAACAAUGACCUAGCCAAUUGUUUACUAACCUUAAUUCACUUUAAAGGGAUCUUUUGACGGUUUGGUAAAUUGACAAAAUUGAGAAAAGUUGUUUCAAAUUCGCAAAUUUUCGGUUUAGUUAUGAUAUUUGUGAGGAAACAGUAUUACUGAACAUUUGCCAUGGUCUAAUAUAGCCAUUAUAUGCAUCUUUUGACGAUUUAAAAACCUAAAAAUUAUAAAGCGUUGCAACGCGAAGCGAUUGAAUAAUUUGGAAAGUUCUAGUGAUGUCGUUUAAAUUUGUGAAACUACGAUGAUAUAAGGUAUAAAAUACGCAUCUUAUGUAUCCUUGGCAGGAUAGCUAAGUUGGCUAAUGCGUUUUUUACUUCGAGUCCUGCUGCGGGCUACUUUUGUUUUCCUUUUUUAAAUUUUAUUUUUUACUGGAGCUUUUAAAAUUUUAUGUUUACAUUUAUUAAUAUAAAGCAUUUAAUAGCAAACUUCAAAACAUGCCAAAAUCUGUGAAAAGGCCCCUUUAAUGUGACGCCAUUCUGUAAUCUUUAUGCACGGUUCGCACAUCAUAGGUGUCAAAGUGGUCAUUAUCGAUUGAUACUACCAUUGUUGUUAUAGCAAUUAUUGAUUUAAUGCGGUUUUUAUGUUUAUUCCAUUUGCAAAAUGGCACUUAUUCCAAUAAAUGUAAUAUAGGAACGAAUGUCCCUGAUAGGAAUAAUGUAGGAACCAUUGUCCAAAGUGCCCUUAUAACUACCUUAUAUUUACAGAAUCGACAAACUGUAACAUAGUUUGUCAGUAAGUAAAUUAAUUAAUUAAAAUCAAAUUGAUCGCCUCAUGUUAAAUUGGCUUUCUGUUAACAGGUUGGCAAUUUUAAUUGUUGGUUAAUUAUAGGUGUAAGCCUUUGAUCAGCGAAUAAUAUGUUUUGCCGUGGAGUCAAAAAUAAUGUAGGAGCGAUUGUCCGGGUUGACAAAAUAAUGUAGGAGUGAUUGUCCGGGUUGGCAAAAUAAUGUAGGACCGACUGUCCGCCCUGUCAAAACAUCGUAGGAGCGACUUUUCGCCCUGUCAAAACAUCGUAGGAGCGACUAUCCGCCCUGUCAAAACAUCGUAGGAGCGACUGUCCGCCUUGUCAAAUUAAGCGUAGGAGCGAUUGUCCGUAGGAGCGAUUGUCCGGGAUUCGAAAAACCUUUUUAACACUAUAGAGUGUCCCAAUGAUAUCAUGAAAAACAUGGCCACCAAGGGGCGGGGCUUUUUCCUUACAUGACUAUUGGUAAAAACAUGUUAACACUCUCAGUCGCAUUUAUAGUCCAAUCUCCAUGAUGAAAAAUUCUUAUGUGAUUAUGAAUUUUCUUCAGCAACAUUAAUACCCUGCCCCAUACGAUAAUGGCUCUUAUGCUUACAUGUUUGUUGCCUGCAUCACUGCAGAAUAUUAGCUGUUUUCUCCCGAUAUGUUAUUAAUUUUGUAAUAUCAACAACUUGCUUAAUACGUGUAAUAAAUUGCUUAUUUUUUAUGCCAGUUGUAUUGAUAUGUGUUUAUGAAUGAUGAAGUUUUGAUGAAAUAUCAUUAAAUUGUAAAAACUA